UUUCCUGGUGGCUCAGUGGUUAAGAAUCCUCCUGCCAAUUUAGGGGACAUGUAUUCGAGCCCUGGUCUGGGAAGAUCCCACAUGCCACAGAGCAACUAAGCCUGUGAACCACAACUACUGAGCCUAUGCUCUAGAGCCUGCAAGCCACAACUACUGAGCCUGCGCACCACAACUACUGAGGUCCGUGCACCUAGAGCCUGUGCUCCGCAACAAGAGAAGCCACUGCAAUGAAAAGCCUGCACACUGCAACGAAGAGUAGCCCCUGCUCACCACAACUAGAGAAAGCCCAUGCGCAGCAGUGAAGACCCAACACAGCCAAAAAUAAAAAAAAUAAAUAAGUACAUUUAUAUUAAAAAAAAAAAGAAUCCAGCAAAAUAGCCAUGGCAACAAUCAAGAAAGCUUGAGUAGGACCCCAGUGUUCAUUGCAGCACUAUUUACAAUAGCCAGGACAUGGAAGCAACCUUAACGUCCAUCAACAGAGGAAUGGCUAAAGAAGAUGUGGUACAUAUAUACAAUGGAAUAUUACUCGGCCAUGAAAAGGAAUGAAAUCGUGCAAUUUGCAGAGAUGUGGAUGGACCUAGAGACUGUCAUACAGAGUGAAUUACGAGCACGUACCCAGGCAGCCACGGCUCCCGCUGCCUGGGUCCUUCAGUGAGAAACAGAGAAGGCAGCAGACCUGAGACGAAGCCCAGCCAAACCCAGCCCAGCCAGCCCCACGAGUGGGAUACCAGUGCGAGCACUGAGAUUUGGCGGUUGUUUGCGACCAUCAUCAUCACAGCAUAGUCCGACUAAUGCACCGCACAAGGAAGAAUUGUCUCUCCAGAUGCCAUAAGCACCCCCAAACCUCUGACGGAAAAACACUGGAUACACAAUAAAAGUAAGAGAAAAAGAAAUCAGAAUUAAAUUAGUAGAGAGAGAAAAAAAUCAUCUUGUUGCAGUUCUGCAUCCUCAAAAUUGGACUUAUCGCAAGGUGGGAUCAACUUGGAAGAUAGUAUGAUAGCGAAAGUAUGACUCCACAAGGACAAAAAGAAUGGAAGAAAAUGGAAGAGGAAACCAAAAAAAGCUAUUAUAACCAGUGUCAUGCCCAAGGGGAAGCGGAAUGAGAAGAGGAAAAUUGUAUUUGAUUGGGCUGUUGUGCCUGUCAUUGAUGCCUCUGUGUGACAGGUGUCCCAAGCUGAUCCUUUCUGUCCUCAGCCUCAAUUUAUGGUGAAAUUAACUGAAAGUGGAUUGCAUGUAAUUGUCAGCUCGUUGUCAGUCUGCGUUUCCAAGGCCGGGAGAAGAUAGAAUGACGAAAGAUACCAACUGACGCCUCGUUGAGCAUUGGUGUUCCCAUGGAAGCCUGCCUGGGCAAUGGUGCACUCGAAGACCGUGCCGGCUGCUGAGGCAAGAGGGUCUUCAUCCGUACAUUUAGGUGUAAUCCACCCUAAAGGUUCUAUCUGGGAGAGGCGUGCAUGCACGAUCCUGUAUGUAUGUCAGAGACUUACUCAGCGGGACUGUUGUCUUGUAAAGAAUGGGCAGGAAAAGUGGGAGAGAAGUUAUAUUAAAUGAGGGGGUCUCUAUGAAAUGAGGGGAUCCCCCUAAAUGCAAACUGAACAAUAAAGUAUUGCUAUAGAGAGAUCCUCAGUUGUCAACUCAGACAGUAGAAAAAGUACCUGAAUUGAACAUCCAUUGUUUUCUAAGUCAUC